AUUUAUCGCUGGCGGCAGGCUUAACACAUGCAAGUCGAGCGAGCGGCGGACGGGUGAGUAAUGUCUGGGAAACUGCCUGAUGGAGGGGGAUAACUACUGGAAACGGUAGCUAAUACCGCAUACCAUCAGAUGUGCCCAGCUGGGAUUAGCUAGUAGGUGGGGUAAUGGCUCCCCUAGGCGACGAUCGCUAGCUGGUCUGAGAGGAUGACCAGCCACACUGGAACUGAGACAAGGUCCAGACUCCUACGGGAGGCAGAAGUGGGGAAGAUUGCACAAGGGGGGCAAGCCUGAUGCAGCAAGGAGGCGUGUGUGAAGAAGGCCUGCGGGUUGUAAAGCACGUUGAGCGAGGAGGCGUUACUCGCAGAAGAAGCACCGGCUAACUCCGUGCCAGCAGCCGCGGUAAUAC
rnacentral:rRNA from 1 species